rnacentral:rRNA from 1 species
UACGGGGGGGGCAAGCGUUGUUCGGAAUUACUGGGCGUGAAGGGCUCGUAGGCGGCCAACUAAGUCAUACGUGAAAUCCCUCAGCUUAACUGGGGAACUGCGUGUGAUACUGGAUGGCUUGGAUUUGGGAGAGGGAUGCGGAAUUCCAGGUGUAGCGGUGAAAUGCGUAGAUAUCUGGAGGAACACCGGUGGCGAAGGCGGCAUCCUGGACCAAUAUUGACGCUGAGGAGCGAAAGCCAGGGGAGCAAACGGG